CUACCCUGAACAAGCCCAAUCCCCUCUGAUCUCGGAAGCUAAGCAGGGUCGGGCCUGGUUAGUAUUUGGAUGGGAGACCACCAGGUGCUGUAGGC
rnacentral:rRNA from 1 species